ensembl:lncRNA
AUGGCACCCAAAAGACAUUACAAAGAAUAUCUGCUGGAUGAGUCGAGCCAACCUUCAAAGGCAACCAAAUACAGACGGCUGGCAAACAAGAAAGAGAAUACUUUAAACUGCAGAGGGAAUUACAAGAAUUACCUCAGGGCAUCCUGUACAACUAACAAUAAAGAGGUUGUGAAAGAGAUUCCACUUUCAAAUAACGGUGAACGAACAUAUUCUCUGGAGGAAUAUCCAGGAGACAAUCCCACAACUAACAAACAGAAUGUUCCCGAUGAGGGCCUUGUUGCAGAAGGACCAAGCAAUCAGUCAUCUUUAGAAUGUUUGAGAGGAAAGCAUCUUGUCAGUCCAAUAAGAGAGCACCUGCUUCAGGACAGACCCAACAGAGAUUCAUCAGAGCCUGCCGGAGAGGGAGUCUCCAGAAAGACCCACCCAGUGCUAGAAUUGCCACCCUCCACCUACUCACACCGCACUUUUCAAUUUUGUGGGGAUCAACAAGAUAUGCAAAUCGGACCAGAAGCACAGGACAUGUUAGAGAAGCAACCAGGAUCCAAUGUGCCUGCUACUCCACCUCAUCAGCAAGAGACACCAAACCAACAGGCAGAGACAUUUUUGUUGGAUGGAGAUGAUCCAGCGUAUCCUGGAGCUCCACUGACAAAGGGACAAAGUUUAAUCUUACUGAUGUCUUAUGUACUAAGGCACAAUGUGACAGAUGUCAUUUCAGAUAUACAGUGUGGAGAAGAGUACCAGAAACUCAAAGAAUCAGGUGAAUUAGGUGAGGAUGACAUAACUUUAAUUUGGAACUGUGAUGGAAUUCCAGUUUUCCGGAGUUCAAAGUAUCAAAUCUGGCCCAUUCAGUGCCAGGUUAUAGAACUCGAACCUAAAGAACGCAAGGCAAAUAUCUGUCUUCCUUGUCUCUGGUUUGGCGAGAAGAAGCCAAACUUCUUAACAUUUUUGAAGCCAUUUGUUAAUGAACUGCAAAUUUUACAACAAAAUGGCAUUAAAUGGAAGGACUCAGCAAAUGUACAACAUGUAUCCAAAGUGUAUGCUCUGAUAUGCAGUUCAGAUUCAAUUGCUCGACCACUUCUAAGAAACACCAAACAGUUUAAUGGCUUUUAUGGAUGUGAUUUUUGUUACCAUGUUGGUGGUGGUCCUUACACAAACAAAGGCCCAAAACCACAUCUUAGAACUGAAGCUAAGCAUUUUGAUCACGCAAUGGCUGCAACACCAGACAGUCCUGUAAUGGGAGUGAAAGGACCUUCACCAUUAAUGAAACUCUCAAAGUUUCAAAUGAUAAAUGGAUUUGUUCCAGAGUAUCAGCAUUGUGUCUGCCUUGGUGUGACAAGACAAUUAGCAAAACUGUGGUUUGACUCAAAAAAUCAUAACAAAGAGUGGUACUUAGGAGCAAAAUCAGACCGCAUUGACAAAGAGCUCAUUGCAAUUCAACCCCCUGUUGAGAUAACAAGAGUACCACGAUCUGUGGCAGACAGAAAAUAUUGGAAAGCGUCAGAGUGGAGGUCAUUCCUGUUAUUCUAUGCCCUGCCUUUACUGAAUGGGGUCUUACUAAAGAAGUUCUGGAACCACCUUUUUCUGUUUGUGUUCGCAAUGCACAUUCUUUUGGGAGAAAAGGUGAAACGCUGUGAUAUUGAAGUAGCUGAAAGAGCUCUCAAGAAGUUCUCACUGCAGUUUGAGAAGUUAUAUGGUGCCUCAAAUAUGACAUUUAAUGUCCAUCUUCUGACACACCUUGCAGCAAGUGUUAGGAACUGGGGUCCUUUGUGGGCCACAUCAACCUUUUCCUUCGAAUCAUUUAAUGGCACUUUGUUACAGUACUUCAAUGGGACAACACAUGUUCCAGAGCAAAUAGUUAAAAGAUUUCUUUGCUGGAGGAGUCUAACACAAAAAGCCGAAAAGUACAUGGUAGACGCUAAUGAAGGGGUGAAAUGCAUUUUUUCACAUCUCCUAAACAGCAAUGUAUCAAGUUCUAAUUCAUCUAGCCUGGAUGAAAAUGUCAGGGUUUUUGGUAAUCCCUGUCAUCACAAACUGUCAGCAUUAGAAAAACUUGCUAUCAAAGACUUGCUAAGUGUUACAGUCGAACACUGUGUUUGUUAUCACCGUUUCAUUGUAAAAGGCACACUGUAUCAUUCCAGCAGUAACAGAAGUCUAAAAAAAAGGAUCAACUCAACAGUGGAGUUACAGGAUCAAAGAUUAUGUAGAAUUCUUUGCAUGUCAGUAUUCAGAGCAGGCGAUUUGUCAUUGCACUGUAUAUUGGUAAAGGAGCUUGUGAAGACUGAUGGACAGCUCUGCAAGGAUAGUGAACUGAACAUUGCUUCCAGUUUUAUGUCUGAGGUGUCAGAAUCUAGGAAUGUUUAUGCGGUGCCCACUGACCUGUUCCACAGGAAAUGUGUUUUGAUCCAAUCAAGAGACAAACAAUAUGUUAUUCCUCUACCAAAUAAUGUAGAGAGAGAUUAAAUAGUUACUGGGGAAGUUUGAGAAAAAAUGCUGAAACCACUGCCAAAUUGUAAGAAAUAGGGACUACAUUCUUGGUGUGCCUUAAAACUAGUGUCCAAAAAUGGCAAAUUCAGAGUAUUAAAUCUGUAAAAAUUAUAAGGCACAUGGGCAAGCACACACAAAGACUGUGCUGUUAAACAGUUAUACUAUAACAGUUGUGGUAUAACAAAAUACAAACAAAAUUGUGGCCUCAAAAUGUUGAACUUUAACAGACGGUUUCCAUGCAAAAUCAAAGACUUUCAAAAGGUUAAUUUUUCUGUCAAGCAGCAAAGCAAAUUUCCUGUUAUCUGCACAUCUUAAUAUGUUCAUAAGUCUAAUAUGUUUUCUGAUUGCUGUCAAAUGUAAGUGAAACAAUCCAAGCUUUGGAAAAAGUACUUUCCAUGUGAUGAUAAGAAAUACACAAGGUUGUACUGUUUUUUUGUUAGAAAUACUGUUGAGUCUUGACUACUGCAUUAAAUAAAAGCACAUGGUCAAUUGAAAGGUGCUCUGUGGUUGAUGUUCAUGUUUAUUCAAAAUUCACCAUUAAAUUUGGAGAAUGGAUGAAUUUUUAAAUAUUGCAUAAAAACAACGGUGGUGUUGAAGUAAUCCAAAUACUUUAUAACACUAAUUGCUAACAAUUUAAAAUUGAAAUAGGUAUAGAAAAUUAAGGAUAUUUUUUCAAUUAGAAAAGGUAUUGUUACAUAACAGCAUUGUUGCAUUUUGCUGGUAAAAUACAUUAUUUUAAAAGGUUGAAGAGAAAAGGUCAGUUAAAGAAAUUAACUGUUAUUGUACAUUCUUUUAAACUGAUUUUAGCACACUAAAAUAAAUGGCUACAUACUGAUGAAUUUAUUCUGGUUUAUAGUGUACUUAUGAAGAAUACACUAAUUUACCACUGAAGUAGUAUUCAAUUAUUAAUAUACUUAUUUUAAGUGCAAUUUAACACUGCUGUGCUAACAAUAUGAAAAAAGUGAUAUAAAAGUGAACUUAUUGAAAGUGUGCUAGAAGUGCACUUGAUAAAAGUAGAUGCAAAUACACUGACAUUAAACUUAUAUUUAACACAUUCGAAGCACAUUAUAA